AAAGACUGCUAGGGGUGCCGAAUAGGCUGAGAUAGUUUUACUAAACCCUUUCGAACCUGAUUUGGUUUAUACCAACGUAGGAAAGUAGUCAACGUAUUCA
rnacentral:ncRNA from 2 species